rnacentral:other from 1 species
UACAGUCUGCGAUGUUAGUAGCUCUUAUUUUGUCUUAAACCGAUAUGAGUAAUAAGGGAAUCCUAAAUGUCUGUUGAAUACAUCGUGCCUCUCCAUUCGUUAGAGGAAGAUGAAAAUACAGCUGCGGAUACCCACCUGUGAGAACGGGUUUUAAGACAGGAUGAGUUACGGCAGAGCGGACAUAC